rnacentral:rRNA from 1 species
AUUGAACGCUGGCGGCAUGCCCUACACAUGCAAGUCGAACGGUAACAGAUCUUCGGAUGCUGACGAGUGGCGAACGGGUGAGUAAUACAUCGGAACGUGCCCGAUCGUGGGGGAUAACGAAGCGAAAGCUUUGCUAAUACCGCAUACGAUCUGCGGAUGAAAGCAGGGGACCGCAAGGCCUUGCGCGAACGGAGCGGCCGAUGGGAGGUUGGGUAGUUGGUGGGAUAAAAGAUUACCAAGCCGGCGAUCUGUAGCGGGUCUGAGAGGACGACCAGCCCCACUGGGACUGAGACACGGCCCAGACUCCUACGGGGGGCCACAGUGGGGAAUUUUUGACAAUGGGCGAAAGCCUGAUCCAGCCAUGCCGCGGUCAGGAUGAAGGCCUUCGGGUUGUAAACUGCUUUUGGACGGAACGAAAAGACUCUGGUUAAUACCUGGGGUCCAUGACGGUACCGUAAGAAUAAGCACCGGCUAACUACGUGCCAGCCGCCGCGGUAA